UCACGAUCCUGACACAUUAGCGUAGCAAAAAAUCAUGUUCAGUAAUGUCAACAGUGGAAAAUGUUAUGAGAGACAGAGAUCGUCAUUGCGUUUUAAAACUGCUAAAGAUUUUAUAGUGCAACUUGGAGACCUGAUUGACAGGGACGUUUAAGCUCUGACAUGCCAGCUAAUGGGUACUUAACACCUGGUUCAUGUGUGUUAAGAGCUGGGGGAGAGUAAACAUGUGGAUUGGGAGUGCUGAGUUUGGUAAACCCUGCUUCAGUCUGCUAACUAAAACACACAUUAGCUCCGUAAACGUGACGUUAUAACUGUACAAGAUUAACACAGUAGAACAGAUACGUACCAUGGCUUGGAAAUUGAGGGUGGAUCGCCCCCCCAGUUUCUGCAUCGGAUUUACGUAGUUUGAGCUUCGGAAGUCAGCAGGGGCGUGGGGGAAAAUAUCAACAAAAGGAAAGAAUUAGAUUAGAUCAUCUACUCGCUUUCGUUUUGUACAGUGUCACACUGACUUUACUCUUGCUUUACUUUUGUCUGCUAGCGUUGGAGCAAUAGAGGCAACAGAGCUAGCAGGUAGGACUUCCUGUAAGAACAAAAUUCAGCCCACAAAUUGAUUGUACAGCGAACCAAAUAAACCCAAAUGUGUUUGAUGCACGGAAUUCUCAAUUCUGACUGGUCAGUAGGUGUUUUUUUUUUAUUUUUUUUAUCUAUAACUGUAGUGCAUGACAAACUGUGUCUUAUUAACGUCAACAUUAAGAAAAUAAAGAAAGCCUGGUAGGGAAUGACUCAUUAUAGCGGCUAUAAGUUUGUAAGCGUGAAUAGUAAAAGGAACUAUAAACGGAUGAAAAAGAUGGCAUACUGUUCUUUAAUAAAUACAAUGUAAUCGUCAAAAAUAGCUUUCAUUUUUUUUACUCGUCGGCAAAAUGCUGUUGUAUAACGGGAACAAAUCACUUGGGGAUGUGCUCUUAUUGUUGAUCCUUUUCCCAUAGCACACGUUUUAUACAUAUUAUCCAACUCAUAACCAUAUAAACCUGAGCUAACUAACUGGGCAGAAUUAUUUUCAGGUGAAGAUUAAUUGUUUAAUGAGGAAGGGUGUGGCUUAAAGUAAUUAACAUUCUAUAUUAGAUGUGGUUAAUUAUUAGGUAACUUUGCUACCUCAGGAAAACGGGCCAAGAAAGAGAUUUAACUGAGACUGUAAAGUGAAAAAUUGUAAAGUGUUUAUUAGAGGGAUACAGCACACUGCAGACUGUAAAUCUAUUGAGGCAUGACCACCGGAUAAUCAAACACUUUGUUAUGGAAGAAAAAAAACGUGUGGAGAAGAAAAGUUUCAAGUUGACUGGAAAAGACUUCAGAAGAAUAAAACAUGAAGUUACCGGGAAUAAUUGCCUAAUAACUGUGCACACAGUGUAGUGUGCAUUUUGACCAAAUUUGGAGUAAGAUGUUGCGAUUAACCUGCUAUCCGCUAAGCUACAUUAUUUUUCCUUCUUCCUCCUGCCAAGCAAACAAAGUAAUGUUCAAUAUAAAUAAGGGUGAUAUUAAAAGGCUAUAUUUUCCUUACCCCAACACAGCUUGCACAGCUGGAGUCGUCCUCAAUGUGGUCGUCGCAUCUCAGGUGCUUCUUCACGGCUCUGAUCGCAUCGUCAUUGUGCCGGCAAUUCAGCAGACCUUGGUCUUCAUGAUAGAGACAAUCUACAGCAAACACUCUGUCUGUGUUUACACAGAGUCUGCUGUCUGGAACAAUUUCAUCUAGAUUAAACGUGUGGUGGAGCGCCACAAAAACGACAGGCUUAUCCUCUGAGAGAGAGAGAGAGAGAGAGACGAGAGAGAGAGAGAGAGAGAGAGAGGGAGGGAGAGAGAGGGAGAGAGAAAGAGCGAGAGGGAGGGAGAGAGGGAAAGGGAGAGAGAGAGAGAGAUGGAGAGGGAGAGAGAGAGACAGAGAGGGAGGGGAGAGAGAGAGA
ensembl:lncRNA